GAGUUUGAUCAUGGCUCAGAACGAACGCUGGCGGCGCGUCUUAAGCAUGCAAGUCGAACGGUAAGGGAGAGCUUGCUCUCCCCUAGAGUGGCGGACUGGUGAGUAACGCGUGGGUGACCUGCCCUGAAGAUGGGGAUAGCUAGUAGAAAUAUUAGAUAAUACCGAAUGUGCUCAUUUACAUAAAGGUAAAUGAGGAAAGGAGCUACGGCUCCGCUUCAGGAUGGGCCCGCGUCCCAUUAGCUAGUUGGUGAGGUAAAGGCCCACCAAGGCAACGAUGGGUAUCCGGCCUGAGAGGGUGAACGGACACAUUGGGACUGAGAUACGGCCCAAACUCCUACGGGAGGCAGCAGCUAAGAAUCUUCCGCAAUGGACGAAAGUCUGACGGAGCGACGCCGUGUGAAUGAAGAAGGCCGAAAGGUUGUAAAAUUCUUUUGCAGAUGAAGAAUAAACACAGGAGGGAAUGCCCUGUGAGAUGA
rnacentral:rRNA from 1 species